UUAAAAGCAAUGACAAGGACAGUAAUCUAUAUCAAAUGUCAGGGAGCUGCUGGUUAGUGAAAAGCAGUCAGGAGAUAUCAGAUGAACAUCACCUUAGAGCUGUGAGCUGAAUUUCUUAAGCUUAACUGUUUCCCUUCAUUAUCGGGGUGGUCAAUUGAUAGUAAUAGUAGUUGACUAACUAAGAUAAGACUAGCUUGUUUGAUUAUAGCCAGUCUAAUAAAGGUGGUACCGCGUUAUUACAACGCCCUUUAA
rnacentral:ncRNA from 1 species